rnacentral:rRNA from 1 species
UACGUAGGGGGCAAGCGUUGUCCGGAAUCAUUGGGCGUAAAGCGCGUGUAGGCGGCCCGGUAAGUCCGCUGUGAAAGUCGGGGGCUCAACCCUCGAAUGCCGGUGGAUACUGUCGGGCUAGAGUGCGGAAGAGGCGAGUGGAAUUCCUGGUGUAGCGGUGAAAUGCGCAGAUAUCGGAAGGAACAUCAGUGGCGAAAGCGACUUCCUGGACCAGUACCGACGUUCAGGCACGAAAGCGUGGGGAGCAAACAGG